CGUCAUUGGAUCUUUUGAUACUAUUCCCAAUUCGAACAAAAUUAUUUUGCUAUAUAAUUCAUUUUGAAUCAGUCGGAUGACGCCACCUGCCGUGGUAAUGAUGUCAUUCCAUUAUGUCAUGGCCACGUCUCACAACGAUUACGUUUCGUGAUGUCAUACAUCGUUACCUUACUAAUGGCGUCGUCCCUAAUUCAAGUUCGAUUUGGGAUUUUCGUUGCACCCAAAAUGCUCCACUCCUGGCCAUCUCGAUCGCAGCCAGCCUAUGUUAUGGUGCCGCGGGAAAUAUCUACCUGUGGUAGGCGAGACACUACAAGUGGUUGGUGCGAACCUAAUCCUUGUAAGAAUGGCCAAUGUGUGAUGGCUUCUCGAGAAG
rnacentral:lncRNA from 1 species